ensembl:lncRNA
AAAUUCACGUGUUGAAGGCCCAAGCCUCAGUGUGACCGUAUUUGGAGAUGGGCCCUUUAAGGAGGUGGUCAAGGUUAACUGAGGUCAUAAGGGUGGGGCCCUGAUCCAGUAGGACUGGCAUCCUUAUGAGAAGAGGGAGAGAGAAGACCAUGUGAGGACACAGUGGGAAGGCCGCUGUCUGCAAGCCAGGCAGGGAGCUCUCCCCGGAAACGGAACCUGCUGGCACCGUGAUCUUGGCCUCCAGCCUCCAGCACCCCGAGAGAUGAGUGCUAUGAAACUGCUGCCGGGAACAAGAGAGCAGACUCAUAUGGAGAUGCAGAGGAAGCCUUUCUCGCUGGUCACCUGGGCUCGGGGUUUCCUGCUAGUUUCAAACGGCUGGGAGUAGCGAAAUCUAUGGUUGCGUUUUACCAUCUCCUCCCAAACUCUCCCUGAGGAUUGUUGAAAUGCAGCCCAGAGACGGAGACUGAGGCUCUGGGAGGUGAGGCGACCUGUGCAAGAUCACACAACUCGUCAACACAUCAAAAGGCCACUUCAGUCAACACAGUCAGGAUUCUGACGACCUCCGGCUUUACGUGAUUCAUAUGGAUGGGAUUUUUUUUUUAAUAUGUCGAAGAUUUCUACCAAGUUUGGGCUAAUUCUUCUCCACUUCACUUCGUAACAACAUUCAAGCUACGCUGCACUUGUCUCUGUCCAGCUCCCUACUGCUUCAGCCAGAGGAAACUGAGUCCGAGAGAGACGAUGGAGGGGAGAGCCAGCGCAGCACAGGCUGGGCUGCCCACCCCCUAGAAGGCUAAUCGAGAUGGUAUUUUCUGCUGGAAGCAAGUAAGCAAGUUUCCCACAAACCAAGCCAGCUUCUCCCAGAAGACAGGCGUUCUCGCCGGCUCUGUGCGCUGUCUCAAAGAUCUCGGUCUGCACAAUGGGCGACACUGAGGUGAAGAGACCUAUGCCUCUGAAGCUGGGGGCGUUGGCUUGUAAACCUCCUGGAUCCUGCCUCUGGGGAGAAAAGAGAAUCAACCCAGGAUAUCCUCUGCCCACCUGUGGGGCUCUGCCACCCCACAGGAGGGUUGUGGGUGGGGACCCUCUCAGACGGAGCCUGAUCGGGGCAAAAACUGGAAACAGCCAGAAGUCCUUCAAAGAGUGAACAGUAAACACGCCGGCCUGGGCCUGCCGUGGAACACGUGCCGCAACAAAGAACAAACUCUUGACCCGAGAGACAACCCGGGCUGCUUCAGAGAACGACGCUGAGUGCAAAAAGCCAAUCCCAAAAGCUGCCACACUGUUUGAGCUCACUUACAGGACUCUCCCAUGAUGACAGAAGUAUGGAGAUGGACAACAGACCAGUGGUUGCCAGAGGGUGGCGGGCACAGUGGGAGGGAGGUGGGUGUGGCCACAGGAGAACAGCUGGAGGGAUCCCUGACACGUGGGGACUGUCCAGGGUCUUGACUGUGGCGGUGGAUCCGCAAACCGACAUGGGUGAUAAAGUGCAGAGAACACCAGGGAAUGAGUACAAAUGACACCAGGGACAUCUGAGGGAGAUGGGUGGGUCUCCCUCCCAGGAUCUCUCUGGCUUAUUUCUUAGAACUGCAGGUGAAUCUACAACUAUCUCAAAAUAAAAGAUUUCAC